CUCAUCUCCCUCCCGGAACACCGGGAGGUCUAGACAUGCCCCCCCCCCACAUACACACACACUACAGCUAAAACACAAUCUUGCACAUAAUUUGGCAACUUACGUCUGAAAGUUCGCAACAUUCAAAUUUCCAUUUUACAAUUAGAUUUUAAGCAGCGCUUAAAAAAUACAAAAACCCUAAUCAUAAACUUUGGCGAUCAGCUUGUAAGGCAACAGUAUCAACUAUGAAACUUGCCAAAUGUAAUGGGGGAAAAAAAACCCGUAUAUCCAACCAAUCCCCCGAGUUGUAAACGCAGCAAAGGAUUUGAUCCUCGAGAUCAAAUUCGAAUUAAGCACAUUCCCUGGAAGAAGGUCAUGUGAUCCCCAUAUAAUUCAGCGCCAAAAAAUGAAUUAAAAAAAUAAUAAUACUGACUUUGAUGGAAGUCAAAUUGCACUUUAUAGCAAGAGAAGGAACUUUAUAGCAAAAAGAACAAGGUGGUGGUGGAAAUGUAACAGUUACAGUGCGCCCUUGUUCAAAGUGCCUUUGUACACCCACCCACCCCCGGUGUGGUGUAUCACUCAAUGCCAGAACCAUGAGGAGAGAUAUGAAAAAAGAACGGGGCCGUGUUGGUUGAGGAUUCAUGCUGUGCCACCCCGUUGCCGUUGCCAAACACACACACACACACCAGAUCACCCCAGGCAGUUUUCAAGCCCGUACAGCUUCAAAAGCGCUUCCCGUACCCCAAAUGGGUCGAAAGGUGGGUGCUUCCGGCUAGAAAGCGGUGUCCAGUAGAUGUAGCACCCCAAGGGUUACCAGCCCGUUCCUUCUGUCCAGAACGCCGUACACUACAACAGCCUUCUCCAAGAUGGGGCCCUACUGAUGCUUUAGGACCACAACUCUCAGAACCCCUGACUACUGGCCAAGCUGCCCGGGGCAGUUGGGAGACAAAGUCCAAAAGAUCUGGGGGUCACCAGAUUGGAGACGGCUGCACUACAAUGUCAUUUUUCAUGCUCCGUCUGGUGGAACCAGAAUCUUAUCAGGAGGUAGACAGGCUUCCUUGAGAGUAGAGAUGGGUCUGUCUAUCGUAGGCCUAAUCUACACCUGGAGGCCUUCCAGGAGUGGGGAGGGACAACCACGAGGUUUUGCACUUCUAGGAUUGUCCCUCAGGGGCUACACGCCAGCGAGUUUUCCCAGAAGUAAAGGAGGGACGUUCCGAGGUGCCAUUUUAAUUUUUUUACAAGCUGAGACAUUUGUGCAACAGCACGGGCGCAAUCCUGCGCGAAGGUACGUUUUUUAAAAAAACUCACACAAUAAACUCGGCACUGGAAUGCGCCACGAGCCAUCGCGAACAUGGCGAAAAUGCUCACCCCCAAUGCCCACAGACUCCACACACACAGCUCCUUCCCAGUAGUCAAGCCCCACUACUUGUGAGGAAGAGGGGGGGCCCGGGAGGGAGAGCCACACUGCCUGCGGAGCUCAAGAUAGUCCCGAGAUGGUGGGGAAAAAUGGGGAAAAAGCAGUCCCAGCUAUCCCAGGAUCAGCUGUGCGUCAUUUGGACCCGCAGGGACAAACUCAAGUCCACCCCGGGAUAAAUGGCAGGUGUAGACUAGGCUGGGGGGCAUGUCUACAUGAAGGGUUAUCCCAGGGAUCGCCCCGGGUGAUCCCUGUGCGUCCACGUGACACACAGGUAAUUCCAGGGGCAGGGAGGAAUGAUCGCUCCCUUUCCCCGGAAUAACUGGGACAGUUUUAAUCCCGACUUUUCCCGCAGUCUCGGGAUCGUCCCAAAACUGCGGGACGGUUCCCACGAGGAACCAGGCAUGGGGCACAGAGCUCUUCAGGAACUCUGUGCCCAUUGAGGGUGGGAGGGGCAGAGCAGGAACUUUUUUUAAAAAAAAAACCACACCACCUUUUCGAUGGAGCACUCAUAAUCUUCAAUAGGAAAAAACACGCAAAAUGGCAGGCGCGACAUCCUCCUUCCUCCCUGGACGUCACGCACCCUGUGUGGACUGAGGAAGAGGAUCUAGCGAUCUCGAUAUCACGAGGUCCUCCCCCUCUCCUCCCUAGGUCUAGACAUGCCCUCAGUCUCUCUGAGAUGGUCAUAUUUUUAAGGUCAAACACAUUCCAUCCCAUUAAUGCACAAGGUUUCAUUUUUUAAAAAAAAAAAAAACUACAAAAAUUCAUAGGGGGGUUGGUGCAGAGUGUUUUUUUAAAAAAAUGCACAAUUUUUCGCAGGUUUGUUGCAUUACUAAAAUGCAGUUUUGUGCACACUUUUGCCAAAGAUACACAUUUUAUAUGCACUUUUCCCUAAUAUGCACCUUUGCUUGCCCAUUUUUUCCCCCCAAGAGAGGCUGCAUUCAGAAAGCUUGCAAAAAUUUUGAUUUUAGUACGUGACUCCGUCUCAGCACACGGAAAGGUUUGGGAGGCACAAAUACAGUAAAUCUGUAAAAAAAAAAACAAAAAAAAAACACCUUAACAAAGCAAAUUUCUCACCCUGCCCUACUUGAGAGAUGUCAUGCCUGCUACUUCAACUCCUUUUCAUAGAAUCAUAGAAUAGCAGAGUUGGAAGGGGCCUACAAGGCCAUCAAGUCCAACCCCCUCCUCAAGGCAGGAAUCCACCCUAAAGCAUCCCUGACAGAUUGCUGUCCAGCUGCCUCUUGAAAGCUCUAGUGUGGGAGAGCCCACAACCUCCAGAGGUCAUUGGUUCCAUUGUCGUACCACUCUAACAGUCAGGAAGUUUUUCCUGAUGUCCAGCCAGAAUCUGGCUUCCUGUCACUUGAGCCCGUUAUUCUGUGUCCUGCACUCUGGGAGGAUCGAGAAGAGAUCCUGGCCCUCCUCUGUAUGACAACCUUUUAAGUAUUUGAGGAGUGCUAUCAUGUCUCCCCUCAAUUUUCUCUUCUCCAGGCUAAACAUGCCCAGUUCUUUCAGUCUCUCCUCAUAGGGCUUUGUCUGUGCAGCCACAGAGGAGACCUGGGUGCUCCCAGGUGGGCCUUUUAUCAUGCAACAUUCCCGCCUCAAACGUGGAAUUUUACAAGAAGUCCGGACAUGUCAUCUUCCAUUGUAGCCUUCUCUUACUUUUGCACCACUUAUUUCAGAUGUUUGGGGUGGGGGGAGGUCUUACCCCCCCAAAAAAAAAUCUUUUAAGAAGGGAGAGACGAAUAGUCACCCCUUGCCUUUGAUUGGUACCACCAGGACCUGGCCAUCUAAAGUAACCUCUGGUAUGUUGUAGGGAGAACAUUCACAGAGUGCCUUAUUUUAUUUAUUUAGCCAAAGUAUACUCCUCUUGACUAUAUCUAAAGACAUCUUGAAGCGGUUUACAACACCGAGUUUAAAAUGCAAGAUUUUCACAGUUAAAAUAGUUAAAAACAAUGCAAAACAUCUCGUAUAUAUAAAUAAUUCUCAAUUAAAACCUUUACAAUAGGAGAACUAAUAACAAACUGGGAAAAGUCUGGGUGAAAAGAUAGGUCUUUAACAUGCCACAGUUGGCACCUUGGGCAUUCCAGAAAGGGUGGUGCCAUCACAAAGCAGACUUGUAAGGCGAACACACUCAUAGCACGUAGAGCUGCAUGCCAACGGAGUGUCGUCGUCCCCGUUUCUACUAAAUAUGCCGGGGCUCCUUGGCAGUCAAGCUGAUGUGGCAAAAGUUCCCCGGAAUGUAGAAAGUUUGCAAAUCACUGCACUGCAAUUUAACACUAUAGCCUUAGGACCACUCCCUAUGCAAUACACACACUCCAUGACAUGAAGCAAUAUCUGAAGAGCUGACAGGGAUCAGAACAAUUCUGGUCACCAGUUGACUCUGGCUGAAGAGACAUUGGCCUUGUUCACCUUUUACCACGGCUUUAACCACAGUGGUUAAGCCAGAAAGCCAACUGUGUUCAGAAGACACCUUAAACCAUGCUUUUAACCAUGGUCAAUAAGGCUUUUUGCCUUAGUCACUGUGGUUAAAGCCAUGGUUUAAGGUGUCUUUUGAACACGGCCCAGCUUUCUAGCUUAACCAUCAUGGUUAAAGCCGUGGUUUAAGGUGUCUUCUGAACACGGCCCAACUUUCUAACUUAACCAUCGUGGUUAAAGCCAUGGUUUAAGGUGUCUUCUGAACACAGCCCAGCUUUCUAACUUAACCAUCGUGGUUAAAGCCAUGGUUUAAGGUGUCUUCUGAACACAGCCCAGCUUUCUAGCUUAACCAUCGUGGUUAAAGCCAUGGUUUAAGGUGUCUUCUGAACACGGCCCAGCUUUCUAGCUUAACCAUUGUGGUUAAAGCCAUGGUUUAAGGUGUCUUUUGAACACAGCCCAGCUUUCUAACUUAACCAUCAUGGUUAAACCCGUGGUUUAAGGUGUCUUCUGAACACGGCCCAGCUUUCUAACUUAACCAUCGUGGUUAAAGCCAUGUUUUAAGGUGUCUUCUGAAUGGGGCCAGUGGCCGUGGGCGAGGGAGUCCGGGACAACCCCUCAACCUUCCGUUUUAAAAUGGCAGCAGGUUUCCUUUUGCCAAAAUGUGUGUCUGUCGUGCCAAGCUUUUAAAUGAAGACGUGAACGGGCUCCUCUUAUAUCUGACACUAUUCUGAUGCCCGACUGAAAUCUCAGUUCACACAGGCGACAACAAUGACAAGUAGGUCGACCUUUGCCUGAUCUAGACAGCUGCAGCAUGCAAACAAGCACAGGUGAAUACUUGCCCAUGAAACAAAAAGGCCUUGCACACAGCACGUCAGGGCGAAGGCUGAGUGAGGACUUUUCUCCCUGACAAGCUACUUUUCUUUUUGCAUAGAUUUGUAUUUCUAAAUAUGGGUGAGCCUUUAAUCCCGCCUGCAGUCUGGAAUGGUACCACCCAGUGACAGCUGCACAACAUGGUACUCCAAAUCCUGCGUUUCAGAUCUUAGUUACUGGAGAAGACAGAGUGCAGCUCUGAGCUUGCCAAGCAGCUGUCUCCUUAGUAAGAAAUGUAGUGUCUAAAUGAAUUGCUCUCGGAUGUUACCCCCAUAGGGCUUUAUUGGAGUAUAUUUAUUACAAAGCUUUAUUUAACCUAUUGCAAAGGAAACACACACACCCUUUUUUUUCUUUUCUAUUCCCCCUUUUUUUUCCCCUUUUUGCCAAAAAGACUUUGGGCCCAAUCCAUUAGGAAUGUCCUUUUGUGUAAGCCCUGGCACAGUGAAUGGGAGUACCAAUGCAUUUCAAUGAUGCACGCUCAGGAGACAUUAUUGGUGGAUCAAGCCCCUGAUUUUUAAAACUAUGCAUUAUUUUUUAUUCCUUAAAAAAUUAUUAACUAAGAUUUUCUUAUGCAUUUUCUAAAAUAUAUAGGAUUUUAAAAAAUUAUAUAUAUAUAUGUAUAAAUAUAAAUAUACAUACUUAUAAUGAAAGAUAUACCAUUUUGAAGCUUUUUAGGUUUUUGAGGGUUUCACUUCCUAGAUGUGUAGAUUUUCCCAAGUCACGGGAAUGCAGAAAGGAAAUGGGCCACAUUCUGGAGCAGUUGAUGCCUGAACUGUUGUGCUCUUAGUUUUAAGACAAAUAUCACAGAUUUAACCCUGCUUGUUCCCAUUAAUAUCAGCGGAAAGACACACACGCCAAUACUCCCAAGUUAAAAGAGUUGAGGUUACCAACUUCAGUGUCCAAUAUCCCAAGUAUUGCUCCCGUGUAAGGCGCUGUGAAAUGAAAAGGGGGGGAGUGGAUGAGAGCCGUGUCUGUUCUUCAGUGCCACGUUUUUCUUUCUUUGCCUUUGUCGGAUGCACUAAUUUUGUGGGAAGUGUGGAUUACGCUGUAAUCACAGUUACUUGCAAGUAGUGCUAAAAUGAAUUUGGGAGGGAAAUAGUUUCGUUUACAGCGAAGAUGGUUGGUCAGCUUACACUCACGGAGAAUAGGUCUAGGACACCUAAAUGGAGCUUCCAUGCACAGGGGCAGUGUACCUCUGAAUAAAAGUUGCUAUAGAACAAACAACGGGGAGGGCUUUUGCAUUGGUGUCCUGCUUGCUAGCAGGGCUAAUCUUGCGUUCUUAUUUCACUCCAUGUGGUGUUUCACAGUGCCUUUGAUUCAUUCUUUGUGUUCAUUUUUAGCAAACUUCACAGUGCAAUCCUGUUCGUCUCCAUUCGGGAGUAAGUUCUACUGAGUUACUCCCAGGCGAGUGGAGUGCAGGAUCGCAGCCUAAGUGCUUUGUGCAAAAGCAACACUGAUCGAUGCUAAUAUUGCUAAAAUGCUGCAUUAAAAAUCCUUUUAUAAGGAA